UUUUUCAGCCUUCGGAAUGGUAGGGGAGCGUCGGAUACACUGAGAAGCCGAGCGGGUAACCGCUGGUGGAGAGUAUCCGAGUGAGGAUGCCGGUAUGAGUAGCGGAAAGACGGGUGAGAAUCCCGUCCGCCGAAAGCCCAAGGGUUCUUAAGCAAGGUUCGUCCGCUUGAGUUUAGUCGGGCCUAAGCCGGGGGCGAAGCCGUAGGCGUUGGACAACGGGUUGACAGUCCCGUACCAGUUACGAUCGUUAUACCGAAGGGGGGACGCUUCAGGAAGACCCGACCGGGUGUUGGAAGUCCCGGGUCGAACACGAGGCCGGUCCGCAGGCAAAUCCGCGGACGUAACGCUGCGUGCUUAGACGAAAGAAGGCCUUCGGGCCGACGGAAGAGGGUUGGACUGGGGCCGAGAAAAGCCUCUAGGGAGAUCGUAACUGCCCGUACCGCAAACCGACACAGGUAGGCGGGUAGAGAAUACCAAGGCGCGCGAGAGAACUCUCGUUAAGGAACUAGGCAAUCUAGCCCCGUAACUUCGGGAGAAGGGGCGCCCUGGUUCGUGUAGCUUGAAGCAGUGAAGCGAAUUGGGGUUGCAGUGAAAUGGCUUGAGCGACUGUUUACCAAAAACACAGGUCCCUGCCAAGGCGAGAGCCGACGUAUAGGGGCUGACGCCUGCCCAAUGCCAGAAGGUUAACCGGAGGGGUCACCGCAAGGGAAGCCCUGAAGCGAAGCCCUGGUGAAUGGCGGCCGUAACUAUAACGGUCCUAAGGUAGCGAAAUUCCUUGUCGGGUAAGUUCCGACCUGCACGAAAGGCGUAACGACUUAAGCGCUGUCUCAACGAGAGACUCGGCGAAAUUGUAAUACCGGUGAAGAUGCCGGUUACCCACCAUAGGACGGAAAGACCCCAUGGAGCUUUACUACAACCUGGCAUUGCGUCUUCUCUAUGCUUGUAGAGCGUAGGUGGGACCCGCAAGGGGCCAAUGGAACACCACCCUGGUAUAGGGGAGGCGCUAACUGAAGGCAUGAAUCUGCCGGAGAGACAGUGUCAGGUGAGUAGUUUGACUGGGGCGGUCGCCUCCCAAAGAGUAACGGAGGCGUCCCAAGGUUCCCUCAGGGCGGUUGGAAAUCGCCCGCUGAGUGCAAAGGCAGAAGGGAGCUUGACUGCGAGACACACUAGUCGAGCAGGUGCGAAAGCAGGGCUUAGUGAUCCUCACACACCGCGUGGAAGGGUGUGGGCUUAACGGAUAAAAGUUACCCUGGGGAUAACAGGCUUAUCACUCCCAAGCGCACACAGCGACGGAGUGGUCUGGCACCUCGAUGUCGGCUCGUCGCAUCCUGGGGCUGGAUGAGGUCCCAAGGGUUGGGCUGUUCGCCCAUUAAAGCGGUACGCGAGCUGGGUUCAGAACGUCGUGAGACAGUUCGGUCCCUAUCCAUGGUGGGCGCAAAAGACGUGAGAGGAGCUGCUCCUAGUACGAGAGGACCGGAGUGGACUGACCUCUGGUGGACCAGUUGUCCUGCCAAGGGCACUCGCUGGGUAGCCACGUCAGGCAGGGAGAAGCGCUGAAAGCAUCUAAGCGCGAAGCCCCCCUCAAGAUGACGUCUUUCGGAGCCCCGGAAGAGUACCGGGUACAUCGGUCGCAGGUGUACGCACAGUAAUGUGUUCAGCCAAGCGACCCGAAUCGCUCCACACGCAUC
rnacentral:rRNA from 1 species